rnacentral:lncRNA from 1 species
UGUUUCACAAUGUUGCCUCUCCGCCCACAGACGGUGUAUACUUUAUUCCUGUCCAAACACAUCAGGCCCUAACUUAGAACCUGUUUCAUUUUCCUAUACAUAUUCUGGUGUCUUUACUGUCUCUCUCCUUAUGAAGACAGCAGGGGAAAAACUUUUACAAACAGACACAAACACUCAAACAGCACUAGAGUUCAGCUGAAAAUAAGUUAACCGAAUACAUCUAGGAAAAUGACAUGUGUAUCUAGUUUUUUUCUCAGAUUUUUGUCUCCGGAUUUUUCAUAUGCUUUAGCCCAGUGCCUCAGUUAGCAGCUCUUCACAGACUCACAAUGGAUGGGAUGAAGCAAAAAGUUCUACUCGAAGGCACCCCAGUGAUAAGCUGCCAAUACUUUCAGCAAAUCAGGGUGGAAAACAGACAAAGAGGCUAAGGAAGAGUUUUUGUGUCUCUUGGAGUCAUUUAUCCAUUAAUGUGCAUUUAUUUAGCACCCACUGUGUUUCAGACACUGUCUACCUAAAGUCACUGGUAUAUUCGCCAGAAAAAGCGGAGGAGCAUGAUUAGAUGACAUUGUCACAAAGAUGGACUCCCACCACCUUCUCCCUGAGCUGCCCCGCUCAGCUCUCAUCCAACAAAAUUCCUUCCUUCACCCUGUCCUCCUCAAGGACCCUCCUGUCUUCUGCCCUUCAUGCUUAGCAAAUCGAGACUUGAACUCACAAAAGCAUCCAUAACUAAAGCAUAGGUAACACAUCGGAAGUGCUGGCUUUUAAACUGCAGAUGAAACCAGAGCAGGGUAGAAGUGGGAAGGAAUUUCCGGGAUGGUUGGGGGUACCAAGCACAUCCAGCGCCAUCUGGAGCAACCAGCCCAGCCCAGAUGCAUUGUGCCUUUGCCGGAGAGCCUUAUCAGGGCUUGUGUAAGAAACAAAGAAAACCAUAGAAAAGAUCAAUGAAACAAAAAGCUGGUUCUUUGAAAAGAUCAACAAAAUUGAUAAACCCCUAGCCAGAUUUAUCAAAUCAAUAAAAUUUAGAAAUGAAAAAGGAGAAUAACGGAC